AUGGCCAGCUCGUCAGCGUUGCAGUUCACGGUGAGGAGGAACCCGGCGGUGCUGGUGCCACCGGCGGCCCCGACACCACGGGAGCUGAAGCGGCUCUCCGACAUCGACGACCAGGAGGGGCUCCGCUUCCAGCUUCCCCUCAUCCACUUCUUCCGGCGCCACGACGGCCAGGACGACGACCCUGCGCUUGUGAUACGGGGCGCCAUCGCCGCGGCGCUCGUCCACUACUACCCGUUCGCGGGGCGGCUGAGGGAGCUCGAGGGCCGCAAGCUCGCCGUCGACUGCACCGGCGAGGGCGUGCUGUUCGUCGAGGCUGACUCCGACGUCCGCCUCGACCAGUUUGACGCGGCCCUGGGCCCCCCCUUCCCGUGCCUCGACGAGCUCCUCUUCGACGUCCCCGGCUCCUCCGGCAUCCUCGACUCCCCGCUGCUGCUUUUCCAGGUGACACGGCUCGCGUGCGGAGGCUUCGUCAUGGCUGUGAGGAUACAACACACGAUGGCAGACGGGGCAGGGAUAGUGCAGCUCCUGGGUGCCAUUGCGGAGUUGGCUCGUGGUGCGCCGGAGCCGACGGUGUGGCCGGUAUGGGCGCGUCAGCUGCUGCGGGCGCCGCCGCUCGACGAUGAUGUACUACUCCCACCGCGCUUCGCGCACCGCGAGUACGACGAAGUGAUGGACAUGAACGGCGCCAUCGUCCCCUUCGACUUCAUGGUGCACCGCUCCUUCUUCAUUGGGCGGCGGGAGAUCUCCGCCAUCCGUUCCCACCUCCCGCCGGCUCUCCGUCGCGGUGCUACCAACUUCGAGGUCCUCACCGGGUGCCUGUGGAGGUGCCGCACGGUGGCUCUAGCCCCCCGCGCCGACGAGGAGAUGAGGAUGAUCUGCAUCGUCAACAUCCGUGGCAGAAACAACACUAUCAUCCCCGCCGGCUACUAUGGCAACGCCUUCGCUUUCCCGGUCGCCAUCUCCACCGCCGGCGACUUGCUCGCCAACCCUGUGAGCUACGCCGUGGAGCUGGUGAUGAAGGCGAAGCGGGAGGUGGACGUGGAGUACAUCCGCUCCGUGGCGGCGCUCAUGGCACGACGCGGGCGGCCGCACUUCGCGGUGGCGCGCGCCUACCUUGUGUCGGACGUGACCAAGGUCGGAAUCCGUGACCUCGACUUCGGGUGGGGCAAGCCAGUGUAUGCCGGGCCGGCGAAGGGCGGAGUCGGCGCCAUCCCAGGCGUCGCCAGCUUCUUCAUUGCUGUCAGGAACGACAUGGGCGAGGAGGGCAUCGCGGUGCCUGUUUGCAUGCCUGGCCCCACCAUGGACAAGUUCGUCGAGGAGAUGGGGAAGCUCACGCACCCCACACUGGCCGACACAUUUCAGACGCUCAGAUCUGCAAUCUGA
rnacentral:rRNA from 1 species